rnacentral:rRNA from 1 species
AUUGAACGCUGGCGGCAGGCCUAACACAUGCAAGUCGAGCGGAUGACGGGAGCUUGCUCCUUGAUUCAGCGGCGGACGGGUGAGUAAUGCCUAGGAAUCUGCCUGGUAGUGGGGGACAACGUUUCGAAAGGAACGCUAAUACCGCAUACGUCCUACGGGAGAAAGCAGGGGACCUUCGGGCCUUGCGCUAUCAGAGGAGCCUAGGUCGGAUUAGGUAGUUGGUGGGGUAGUGGCUCACCAAGGCGACGAUCCGUAACUGGUCGGAGAGGAUGAUCAGUCACACUGGAACUGAGACACGGUCCAGACUCCUACGGGAGGCAGCAGUGGGGAAUAUUGGACAAUGGGCGAAAGCCUGAUCCAGCCAUGCCGCGUGUGUGAAGAAGGUCUUCGGAUUGUAAAGCACUUUAAGUUGGGAGGAAGGGCAGUAAGCUAAUACCUUGCUGUUUUGACGUUACCGACAGAAUAAGCACCGGCUAACUCUGUGCCAGCCGCCGCAGUAA